CAACUUUCAACAACGGAUCUCUUGGCUCUCGCAUCGAUGAAGAACGCAGCGAAAUGCGAUACGUAAUGUGAAUUGCAGAAUUCAGUGAAUCAUCGAAUCUUUGAACGGACCUUGCGGCCCCUUGGCAUUCCGAGGGGGACACCCGUUUUGAGU
rnacentral:rRNA from 1 species